UUAUAACAUUCUGAUCAAUGGUUUUUGCAAGGCAGGCAACAUUAAUGGUGCUUUUAAGCUUGUAAAGGAGCUUCAACUCAAGGGGCUGUCGCCAGAUUCUGUAACAUAUGGAACUCUUAUAAAUGGGCUUCUAAGCAUUAAAAGAGAAGAGGAUGCCUUUAGGGUACUCGAUCAGAUGUUUAAGAGUGGGUGUACACCAACUACGGCAGUUUAUAAAUCACUUAUGACUUGGUCAUGCAGGAGAAAGAAGGUAUCUUUAGCUUUUAAUAUUUGGUUGCAAUAUCUGCAGAAUGUUUCUGGCCGAGACAAUGAAGUAGUUAAAAUAAUAGAGGAAUAUUUUGAGAAGGGAGAGGUGGAGAAGGCAGUUCGAAAGUUACUUGAGAUGGAC
rnacentral:misc_RNA from 1 species